CCUACGGGAGGCAGCAGUGAGGAAUAUUGGUCAAUGGGCUUACGCCUGAACCAGCCAAGUCGCGUGAGGGAAGACUGCCCUAUGGGUUGUAAACCUCUUUUGUCAGGGAGCAACGCCGGCUACGUGUAGCCGGACUGAGAGUACCUGAAGAAAAAGCAUCGGCUAACUCCGUGCCAGCAGCCGCGGUAAUACGGAGGAUGCGAGCGUUAUCCGGAUUUAUUGGGUUUAAAGGGUGCGUAGGCGGAAUGCCAAGUCAGCGGUAAAAUCUCGGGGCUCAACCUCGCUCCGCCGUUGACACUGGCGGUCUUGAGUGGGCGAGAAGUAUGCGGAAUGCGUGGUGUAGCGGUGAAAUGCAUAGAUAUCACGCAGAACUCCGAUUGCGAAGGCAGCAUACCGGCGCCCAACUGACGCUGAAGCACGAAAGCGUGGGUAUCGAACAGGAUUAGAUACCCUAGUAGUC
rnacentral:rRNA from 1 species